CACUUCCUGUCUGAGUCUGCAGUUCCACAUCUGCAGAUCACAAGUAUUUGCAGGAGAAUUGUGUCCAUCCUGAACAAAUGAGGCUCUCAUUCUCGGUGCUAUGUCAGAGCACUUGCGUUCUGUGAGCACUCUGGGCAUCUGGAGAUGGGACAGCUCGUAGGCCAAACCCAGAUACUGCAGCACUUCAUAAGGGACACGACUCCUGGGUUCAAACCAGCCCCCCACAGACGCCAAGGGACCGCGAACCGUGUGACCAGAAGAACUUGCCCUCACCCUGGCUGCUGGCUUCAAUGUGAGGAUUUACCCCACACAGACCUGAGUCCUGCGGAUCUAUUUUUUUUCUUCACAAUGUGUACACGUAUUUUCACUCUAACCUGAAUCGAUCCACAAUGGAUACUACGAAAAUGUCAGCUGAGAUUUUCUGCAAAGAAAAUGUCUGAAUUUUGAAUGAGAGGCUUCUCCAUGUGUCCAGAACGCAUUGCAACCCCACGGACAAACUCAAAAGCAAAAGCAGUGUGGCCAGCAGGCCGGAAGGUCUCCCCAAACACCGCUAAGCACCCUUCCAAGUAGCUGCUGCUGCCAUUGUCCAGAGCCUAUUCCACAACACAUUCCGUUUUCAGGGUGGUUACGGGGCUUCCAGAAAGAAAAUCUAAAGCAUGUGUGGGUAACUCAUGGCUUCAGGACCCUCCAGCCCAAAAGGACCAUGGAAGACCCUCCUUGAGUUCUUCAUAUAGUCUGGAUAUUAAUCGUCUUUCUGAGGAAUUGCUGGCAAAGAAAUUUUCCCUCUCUGAAGGGCAGCCUGUCUCUUUGUUCUGUUGAUCAUGUCCUUGCUGUGCAGAAGCUUUUUAAUUUAAUAUGACCCUAUUUGUUGCUUCUCAGUAUUAUUUCUUGUGCCACUGGGGUGCUGUUCAGAAAGUCCUUGCCUACGUUAUGACUUCAAGAGUUUUACCUAUUUUAUCUUCCAGCUACCUAAGUAUUUCUGUCUUAACACUUACAUCUUUGAUCCAGUUUGAUUUUAGUGUAUUACAUGAUUAGAGACUUGGACCUAGACUCAAUCUUCUGCACGUGGACAGCCAGUUUUCCCAGCACCCUUUAUUAAACAGGCUGUCUUUCCUCCAGUGUGUGGCUUUUGGUCCCUUUGCCAAAGCUCAAGUAGUUAAAUAUGCUUGGGGUUGUUUCUGCACCCUCCAUUCUGUUGUAGUGAUCCCCUUGUUUGUGCCAGUGCUGUGCUGUUUUUAUCACUGUCACUUUAUAAGGUAAUUUGAAGUCCCCGUAUCCCUGUCCUUCUCCUCUGCCCGAG
rnacentral:lncRNA from 1 species